rnacentral:rRNA from 1 species
AUUGAACGCUGGCGGCAGGCCUAACACAUGCAAGUCGAGCGAGCGGCGGACGGGUGAGUAAUGUAUGGGGACUGCCCGAUAGAGGGGGAUAACUACUGGAAAAGGUGGCCAAUACCGCAUACUAUCGGAUAACCCAUAUGGGAUUAGCUAGUAGGUGGGGUAAAGGCUCACCUAGGGGACGAUCUCUAGCUGGUCUGAGAGGAGGAUGAGCAACACUGGGACUGGGACACGGCCCAGACUCCUACGGAGGAAGCAGUGGGGAAUAUUGCACAAUGGGCGCAAGCCUGAUGCGGCCAUGCCGCGUGUAUGAAGAAGGCCUUAGGGUUGUAAAGUACUUUCAGCGGGGAGGCGUUACCCGCAGAAGAAGCACCGGCUAACUCCGUGCCAGCAGCCGCGGUAAUUC